rnacentral:tRNA from 1 species
AUUUAUAUAGUAUAAAAAUUACAAUUAAUUUCCAAUUAAAAAAUUUAACCUAUUUAAUAUAAAUA